AUCAUGGCUCAGGAUGAACGCUAGCGGCAGGCUUAAUACAUGCAAGUCGUGGGGCAGCAGGUUUGUAGCAAUACAGAUGCUGGCGACCGGCAAACGGGUGCGGAACACGUACAGAACCUUCCUUUGAGCGGGGAAUAGCCCAGAGAAAUUUGGAUUAAUACCCCAUAGUAUAAUGAAGUGGCAUCACUUUAUUAUUAAAGAUUUAUCACUCGAAGAUGGCUGUGCGGCUGAUUAGGUAGUUGGCGGGGUAAAGGCCCACCAGCCUGCGAUCAGUGACUGGUGUGAGAGCACGACCAGUCACACGGGCACUGAGACACGGGCCCGACUCCUACGGGAGGCAGCAGUAAGGAAUAUUGGUCAAUGGAGGCAACUCUGAACCAGCCAUGCCGCGUGGAGGAUGAAGGUCCUCUGGAUUGUAAACUUCUUUUAUAUGGGACGAAAAAAGGCUUUUCUAAGUCGUCUGACGGUACCAUAUGAAUAAGCACCGGCUAACUCCGUG
rnacentral:rRNA from 1 species